rnacentral:rRNA from 1 species
UACGUAGGGGGCAAGCGUUGUCCGGAUUUAUUGGGCGUAAAGAGCGUGUAGGCGGCCUGGAAGGUCAGCUGUGAAAACUCGAGGCUCAACCUCGAGACGUCGGUUGAAACCACCUGGCUAGAGUCCGGAAGAGGAGAAUGGAAUUCCUGGUGUAGCGGCGAAAUGCGCAGAUAUCAGGAAGAACACCCGUGGCUAAGGCGGUUCUCUAGUACGGUACUGACGCUGAGACGCGAAAGCAUGGGUAGCGAACAGG